AGUGUAGGUCAGUAGUGAUGCUGGGACCAAAGGUCUCAUAAAGCAAAAGUUUCUUGGUCUCUGGAACAUGUAGCUCUGCUUCCUAACCAGCUUUGUGUUCCCUGUGGACUUCCAGAGGAUUGGACUAAUCUUUGCUCCUUGUCUGGCACCACCAGUUAAGGCGAAAUGCAGAAUUGCCAGCUGCAUUUAGGAAGUGGCAUGUUUCACUGAAGGGUCUCCUUGUCUUGGCGAAUAUGCAGUUCUUCAGAAGCGUCCUGGUAUUCUUUGGUCCUUGCCAGGCACUUAAGUAAAUGGCUUCAGGGAAUGCCAAACACGAGAAAGACAUAGAGACAAGAGGAUUUGUGCUGAAUGAAGACCGGACUGAAUGCCACUGAAGCACAGUUCUCCACAAUAAUAGUUGUGUGUACCUGACGCCAUAAAGUGUUUGUGUCAACCUUAUUGUCUCAGUUUUUCAGCUGUGAAAGAAAGCACAGAUUUUUCAAGAGUUUGCAAAUCAAUAGUCAAGAGACAUUUCCAUUCAGAAACACCAAUAAAAUAGCCUAACAUCUACAUUGUGUGCAAACUGAUGACCUUGACAUAAAGCCUGUAACAUAAUAAAGUUUGAAAUAGGGGGGAGGAAAGUGAUUCAGGAAUUACAAGCUAUCUGGAAAUUAUAUAAGAAUGUAUCUGUAUAUUUCAAGAAAAAUCAAAAGCUUAAUGAUAACUAUUUAGCACUUGUAACAGCUCAGUAUAAAAACAGGAUCAGAGGUAAUUUUGUGAUUUAGCAGAUUUUUUUCAUAAGCAAAAUUCAAACAAAAGAAAAAGUUGGCAUCUUGUUUGUGUUCUUAACUCUGAAGUGACCAUAGGAGGACUAGGGCUAAGCUUGACACCUUUCUCUUUCCAGUUCUUCAUAUGUGGAGCUCUUUCAGCAGUUGUUGCUGUUAGGGUACCCAGAACUGCAGGCUUUGACACAGGAAAUGUGCAUUCUCCAAAUUUUUCUGGAAAUGGAAAUAUCCAUGCUGUGCUCCUGGUAGCAGUCAAAAAAUAGUGUCUUUGGCUGCUGUUGAACAAGAAUAUCACACAAUGCUUUCUGAAAAAUAAAUCUCUCUGUUUCUGACCUCCU